rnacentral:rRNA from 1 species
CGGUAUGGGCCAUGAGAGUGGUAGCCCAGAGAUGGACACUGAGACAAGGGUCCAGGCCCUACGGGGCGCAGCAGGCGCGAAACCUCCUCAAUGCACUAAAGUGUGAAGGGGUUACCUCGAGUGCUACCUGAAGAAGGUAGCUUUUCCUUGGUCUAAAUAGCCUAGGGAAUAAGAGGGGGGCAAGACUGGUGUCAGCCGCCGCGGUAACACCAGCCCCUCGAGUGGUGGGGAUGAUUAUUUGGCCUAAAGCGUCCGUAGCCGGCCGGGUAAGUUUCCCGUCAAAUCCAGCGUCUCAAGCGUUGGACUGCGGGAAAUACUGUCUGGCUAGAGAGUGGGAGAGGUGAGCGGUAUUCUGGGGGUAGGGGCGAAAUCCUUUGAUCCCCGGAGGACCACCAGUGGCGAAGGCUGCUUACUAGAACACGUCUGACGGUCAGGGACGAAAGCUGGGGUAGCGAACCGGAUUAGAUACCCGGGUAGUCCCAGCUGUAAACGAUGCAUGCUAGGUGUUGGGUUGGCCACGUGCCACCCCAGUGCCGCAGGGAAGCCGUUCAGCAUGCCGCCUGGGAAGUACGAUCGCAAGAUUGAAACU